AGUCUAGUCUGUGACCUGAGCCAUCAUGGCAGGGUGUCCAGGGUGAGGGGAGGGUGGUGUGAAUCCCCAGUAAUGCAGGUCCUUUCCAGGCCAGGCCCCUGGUCCCCAGGAGUGCGGGGCUGCCCGAGGUCUACUGCUGCCUUAUCCAGAGCUGCCACCCCCCGGCGAUGACUCAGAGUACCUGUGGCCCCAGCAUCAUCCCUCCAUCCCUGGCUUCGAGGCAGGAGCAGAGUUGCAGACCUGAGAUGCCUUUAAUUUGUUUGAUAUAAGACUUUGCCGCCAGACAAAGUGCUUUGCCUGUGAGGUCUGGCUUGGCCUGGCCUCUGAGAAAGAACAAACACAGACCUCACUGGAAGGAACCUGGAGAACGGGAGAGGAGAGGCUGCUGCUGUCUGCUCUCCCAGCAGCUGGUAUAAAGACAAUGGGCUUCUAAGUCCCCUAGAGUCCCAGCUGUGUAAUUUAAGGCAAGUUCAUCUCUCACAGCCUCAGUUUCCUCAUUUGCUGGCACCUGUCUUUCUCCUUCAUAGCCAUUGUCACUCUUGCAAUGAUAUCAACAAUGCUUACAUUUCAGAUAGAUCCCCAGCUGGGUUGAAAGGAACGUCAAGACCCUUCCUUUCUUACGACCUAUGUAUCAACUCCCUUCUACCUUGCCUCCCUCCACUUGGAGCCAGUUCUAGCUGGUGAAAUGUAGCCAGAGGUUCCUGGAAAGCCUUUCCUUCUCAAGUAAAGCCUGGCUCAGAGAAAACCACUGGUCUCUUUCCUUUUCUUCCUCCUGACAUGAACAUGCGGCAGGAAGGAGCAUGGAGAAGACGAGAACAAGGCUCUCAGAAGGAACUGGUGUGGCUGGAGCCAUAAGAACUCGUUGUGGAGGAGGCAAAUACAAUUUCUGACUUACAUAAUGAUGUAUGCACAAGAAGCCUCUCCUUGAAUGUAUUAAUUCAGCAAACAGUUAUGGAGUCCUUACAAUGUGCUAGUGGAACUUUGAAGAUGAACCCAAAUUUGGAUCCUGGCCUGAAAAGGCUCAAAGCCUAAUACGGGGGUGAUUCUGAGCAGAAACAACGGGGAACGUUUGUCUUCAUUGUGACUCAGCGAGCAAAGAGAUGGAGUCUUUUCCAAGAAGAAAGUGGGAGAUUUGGGACCACUGACGUAUUUGGCCCACUGAUUCCAUUCCUCUAGACCAACACAUGUUCAUCAAAUUGAAUCACUCUUAUGGGGAACUUAACGGAACUCCGGUGCCCAUUGCAUUAGUUUUUGAUGAUGGAAUUCUGUUUCUUUGCGAACUUGAACUUGAGGGGUCUGGCUACCCCUCUGAAACUUUUUUUUUUGAGGUAAAAUCAUAUAACAU
rnacentral:lncRNA from 1 species